CCAAAGGCUCUUUUAAGAGCCACCUCAUUUUUAUCUCUGAAAAAGCG
rfam:Scleropages formosus scaffold27450, whole genome shotgun sequence.